UGCCAGACUCCUACGGGAGGCAGCAGUGAGGAAUAUUGGUCAAUGGGCGCGAGCCUGAACCAGCCAAGUCGCGUGAGGGAUGACGGCCCUACGGGUUGUAAACCUCUUUUGCCGGGGAGCAACGGGCGCCACGUGUGGCGCCACUGAGAGUACCCGGAGAAAAAGCAUCGGCUAACUCCGUGCCAGCAGCCGCGGUAAUACGGAGGAUGCGAGCGUUAUCCGGAUUUAUUGGGUUUAAAGGGUGCGUAGGCGCAUCGUAAAGACAGGGGACAAGUGGAGGGGCCCACCCCCUCCCCGCCAUUGAAACUGGCGCUCUUGAGUGGAAGAGAAGUAUGCGGAAUGCGUGGUGUAGCGGUGAAAUGCAUAGAUAUCACGCAGAACCCCGAUUGCGAAGGCAGCAUGCCGGCCUCCGACUGACGCUGAAGCACGAAAGCGUGGGGAUCGAACAGGAUUAGAUACCCCAGUA
rnacentral:rRNA from 1 species